AUGAGGCUGGAGCAACGUUGGGUCACAAGCCAACAGGAAAAAGAGAAAAUGAAACGGGAGAGACAACAGAAGAGACGUCUCAAAGGCGGGAAGAAAGAUUCUCCAGCCAAGACAGAUUCACAAGACAACCCAGUGAGCAUGGACAACAUCCUGAUAUCGGUAUCAAAUCCUGACAACAACCAAUGUGAGACUUUCCUACUGAUGUUUGCUUUGAACAGACAGCCAAGUCCUGAAGUAUGGGGCAAUACAUAAGCUCUUUGUAAAGGAAUUUAGCCAGUAAUGCUUUGAUGUUUAGUCUUUGUUUUUAUCCCUCCUCAGUCGACCCCUCUGAUCAUCACUCCUUACCUUCUCCAGUGGAACAGAAAUGUGACGUAACGAGAGUAAGAAUCUUAAUUCAUCACUUAUAGUGGAGGUGAUUUAUUUCUGAUCCAAACUAGGGCACUACGUAGUGAAUAGGCUGUAAUUUGUAUGUGGUUAACAUCUUACUUGAAACGUCGUAUUUGUGUUUAUAGAAACUCUCGGCUCUGUGUCACAACAUGGUCGAAGCAGUGAAUCAGAAGUCCAUCAUCUCUGCCCACAACCUCUGUAAGUAGAAGGCUAGGAUUCCUCUCAUCUUCCUGUUUUAAAUCAGCAUUACUUUGAAACUAUGAAACGCCACACUGAGAUUCAGGGGUGCAACUUUGGUUUUUCGAAGUGGGGCGGACAUCUAUUUCUGUAUCCGGUUGGAUAAACUCUCCAAACAGCCUGCCCGACCGCUCGGAGGCGUCCACAUGGUCCUAAAGCACACCGUUGCCCCGUUUUGUAUCACAUUCCAAUGAUAAAACUUGGGGGGCCAUUUGUUUAUAACAUGACAGUUUAUCUAUAACAGAAUUAUUAUUAUUUAUUUAUUUUCCCCCCCCAAUUUCGUGGUAUCCAAUUGUUUAGAAGCUACUAUCUUGUCUCAUCGCUACAACUACUGUACGGGCUCGGGAGAGACGAAGGUUGAAAGUCAUGCAUCCUCCGAUACACAACCCAACCAAGCUGCACUGCUUCUUAACACAACGCGCAUCCAACCCGGAAGCCAGCCGCAUCAAUGUGUCGGAGGAAACACCGUGCACCUGGCAACCACGCACUCCGCCCGCCACAGGAGUCGCUGGUGCGAGAUGAGACAAGGAUAUCCCUACCGGCCUAACCCGGACGACACUAGGCCAAUUGUGCGUCGCCCCACGGACCUCCCGGUCGCGGCCGGUUACGACAGAACCUCUGUCGCGAACCCAGAGUCUCUGGUGGCACAGCUGGCGCUGCAGUACAGCACCCUUAACCACUGCGCCACCCGGGAGACCUCUAUAACAGAAUUUUGACUGUAUCUUCAAUAUAGAGUGAAAACCCAUCAUAAUUUCUUAGGUGACUUUUAACUUACUCAUUCUAUACUUUAUGUGUAUGGUAUAAAGAGUGUUUUGUUCAUGUCUUGUAGUUGCUGAGGGCCCAGGGCUGGUUGACUCUGUCUCCUCCACCUUGGUGACCUGUAGCAGUCUGAUUGGACAAGCUGGCUCCCUUCAGUCCAUCACCCAGCAACUGUCUGAAAUGUAAGUCUGCACUUUCAAACAUUUGUAAAUAUUUGCUUUUAAAUGUAUGGAAUGUGCUGUAUAGAUAUUCCGCAAUUGAUUAAUUGACAUAUAUGGUCCAGUGAGUUUUAUCUGUAAAAGCUGUGGUUCGGUUUUUUUCAAUUUCUUUUGUUCACUAUAAAUGGAAAGGCUGUGUAUAGUGUUGCUGCAGUGAAUUUGUAUGUUUCCCACCACAGAGAACAGAGGCUACUGAAGGAGCAUUUUAAAGGAACUGUGAGUUUUGAUUUAUAUUCAUUCUGCCACAUGCAUUAUUAGUCACUUGUUAAGUCAAGUAAACGAGAACAUCUAGGUAUCAAUAUCAAAUAUAACUGUCAUUCACGUCUACUGGAAAUACAGUCUGAAUGUGGCCCGGGCCCAGUCUGAACGAAGUUUGAAUGGGUCUUGUGUAUUGAUUGUUCAUGCCAUGCUCUCCACAUAGAUCACCACUGAGGACCUACACACCAUCAUACACAGUGUGGUGGUGACCGUAGUGGAGGAGGUCAACGGGAUCCUCAUCCCAGCCAUCUUGGCCUUCGAGUAUGAGCGCCUAACAGGCUCCGUCAGCUCCAGUGACAUACCCAGCAGCGACGUACCCACCUACAGCAGCCCCUCCUCCUCGGACUACUACCGGACAUCCUCCUUCAGCACUAGCCUGCAGUCCUCCUCCCCUCAGAUAGGGCUGUCCAGCC
rnacentral:lncRNA from 13 species